rfam:Gossypium raimondii Chr10_contig_1141, whole genome shotgun sequence.
UAUUAAAAAUUUCAUCCAUUUUUAUUGUUAAAAGUAGCAUGACUGACAGAGUAACAAGACAAUUACACGUGAUAUGCUAAGUAUAUCUUAUUUUGACAUACAUGAACCAAUUUUUAAUAGUAGAAAUUGAUGAAAUUUUUAAAA